AACGAACGCUGGCGGCAGGCUUAACACAUGCAAGUCGAGCGAGACCUUCGGGUCUAGCGGCGGACGGGUGAGUAACGCGUGGGAACGUGCCCUUCUCUACGGUAUAGCCCCGGGAAACUGGGAGUCAUACCGUAUACGCCCUUUGGGGGAAAGAUUUAUCGGAGAAGGAUCGGCCCGCGUUGGAUUCGGUAGUUGGUGGGGUAAUGGCCCACCAAGCCGACGAUCCAUAGCUGGUUGGAUAGGAUGAUCAGCCACACUGGGACUGAGACACGGCCCAGACUCCUACGGGAGGCAGCAGUGGGGAAUCUUAGACAAUGGGGGCAACCCUGAUCUAGCCAUGCCGCGUGAGUGAUGAAGGCCUUAGGGUUGUAAAGCUCUUUCAGCUGGGAAGAUAAUGACGGUACCAGCAGAAGAAGCCCCGGCUAACUCCGUG
rnacentral:rRNA from 1 species